rfam:Canis lupus familiaris chromosome 1, whole genome shotgun sequence.
GUGCUCACUUUGGCAGCAUAUAUAUUAAAAUUGGAAUGAUAUGGAGAUUAGCAUGGCCCCUGAACAAAGAUGACAUGCAAAUUCAUGAAGCAUUCCAUAUUGAA